UACGAGGGGGGCGAGCGUUGUUCGGAAUUAUUGGGCGUAAAGGGUGCGUAGGCGGUUUGGUAAGUCUUGUGUGAAAUCUACAGGCUCAACUUGUAGUCUGCACGAGAAACUGCCGGGCUUGAGUAUGGGAGAGGUGAGUGGAAUUCCUGGUGUAGCGGUGAAAUGCGUAGAUAUCAGGAGGAACACCUGUGGCGAAAGCGACUCACUGGACCAUAACUGACGCUGAUGCACGAAAGCUAGGGGAGCAAACAGG
rnacentral:rRNA from 1 species